AGUAGGGCGGGACACGUGUUAUCCUGUCUGAAUAUGGGGGGACCAUCCUCCAAGGCUAAAUACUCCUGACUGACCGAUAGUGAACCAGUACCGUGAGGGAAAGGCGAAAAGAACCCCUGUGAGGGGAGUGAAAUAGAACCUGAAACCGUGUACGUACAAGCAGUAGGAGCACCUUCGUGGUGUGACUGCGUACCUUUUGUAUAAUGGGUCAGCGACUUAUAUUCAGUGGCAAGGUUAACCAUCUAGGGGAGCCGUAGGGAAACCGAGUCUUAACUGGGCGCCAUAGUCUCUGGAUAUAGACCCGAAACCGAGUGAUCUAGCCAUGGGCAGGUUGAAGGUUGAGUAACAUCAACUGGAGGACCGAACCGACUAAUGUUGAAAAAUUAGCGGAUGACUUGUGGCUAGGGGUGAAAGGCCAAUCAAACUCGGAGAUAGCUGGUUCUCCCCGAAAGCUAUUUAGGUAGCGCCUCGGACGAAUACUACUGGGGGUAGAGCACUGUUAAGGCUAGGGGGUCAUCCCGACUUACCAACCCUUUGCAAACUCCGAAUACCAGUAAGUACUAUCCGGGAGACACACGGCGGGUGCUAACGUCCGUCGUGGAGAGGGAAACAACCCAGACCGCCAGCUAAGGUCCCAAAUUACAGCUAAGUGGGAAACGAUGUGGGAAGGCUUAGACAGCUAGGAUGUUGGCUUAGAAGCAGCCAUCAUUUAAAGAAAGCGUAAUAGCUCACUAGUCGAGUCGGCCUGCGCGGAAGAUGUAACGGGGCUAAGUUGUAAACCGAAGCUGCGGCAAUGUUCUAUGAACAUUGGGUAGGGGAGCGUUCUGUAAGCCGUUGAAGGUGUGUUGUAAAGCAUGCUGGAGGUAUCAGAAGUGCGAAUGCUGACAUGAGUAACGACAAGGGGGGUGAAAAACCUCCCCGCCGGAAGACCAAGGGUUCCUGUCCAACGUUAAUCGGGGCAGGGUAAGUCGACCCCUAAGGCGAGGCUGAAAAGCGUAGUCGAUGGGAAACGGGUUAAUAUUCCCGUACUUCUUACAAUUGCGAUGGGGGGACGGAGAAGGCUAGGUGGGCCUGGCGACGGUUGUCCAGGUUCAAGUGCGUAGGCU
rnacentral:rRNA from 1 species